rnacentral:lncRNA from 1 species
UCAUGUUGAGUUAUAUAACAUAACAAAAUAAAUUAUUAAAAUAAAAAAAUCUAGUUUCACAAAAUAACUAGACAUGAAACAGGGAUACUUCAUAUAUAUUUAAAUGCGAUAAUAAAAGUGAUACAAUCUAACGAUGGUUGUGAGAGACAACUAAUUUUAAGGAUUAAGGAAACGAUAAGCAUCCAAUUAAAGACUAAGCAUGAAGUAAGAUAGAGUUCAUACACUUCUUGAAAUACAAUACACACAUUCAUGCAUUUAGUUUUUAUGGUCCCAAAGUCCUGCAAAUCCUCCUCCACUUUCUACUUCUUCUCCUCCAAAUCCUCUAUUUUCUCCUCCUCUCCAACUUACAUCAUUUCUUCUACCUCCUUCUCCUCCAAAUCCACUAUUUUCUCCUCCUCUCCAACCUAUUUCAUUUCCUCUUUCUCUUUGUCCUCCAAAUCCACUAUUUUCUCCUCCUCUCCAACUUACUUCAUUUCCUCCUUCACCUUGUCCUCCAAGUCCAUUGUUUUCACCUCCUCCCUGAGCUCCUCCAAUAUUUAUCGAACCUUUAAAAUCUCCGCUUUCUAUCGAACCUCCCCAACCACCUCCAUUUAUCCAAAAUCCCAAACCAUUAUCAUUAUGUCCUUUUUCC